GUGAAUCAUCAAAUUUUUGAACGCAAAUUGCACUCUCCUCGGAGAGUAUGCCUGUUUGAGGGUCAGCCUAUAAAAAAUCGACAUCGUUGCUGUUUCGCGGUGGCGUUCGUCGGAAAUUGGGUCAUCUUAAAUCUUUUGGUUUUAAGCGACUUAAAAUUUUCUUUUUGGUUCCAUGAACGUUUCUAAGAUUUAUUUCUUUACACGUUUAGGGUAUCGUUUUUUUUUAGCGUGACCCACAUUUCGGAAUG
rnacentral:misc_RNA from 1 species